rnacentral:lncRNA from 1 species
GUGAAACAGCACAACAUGGGUGGCCAGCUGCCAGGCAGUCAAGAAUUACCGUGCUACAUCAGCAACCCCAGUGUGACCCUGGACCUGAAGUAACAUCUGAGCAACUACCAGGUGUCAUAAAUUGGAUUAGAAAUUGUAAAUGCCUUUGUGGACAGCUUAUCAGCACAAUGGGAAGUCCUAAAUCACAAUUAUUGUCUCAGCGUCAGUAGACAGAAUGAGAGACAAGGUUAAAGAUGAAGCACAGAAUCUGACAUGGAAGCUGAUGGAUCAAGUAGCACCACCAAUGUCCAUCUGGGAACAGUUGGCUAUUGUGUCUCACUGAAAACAUAAAAACCUCUGGGGCUAGGCCAUAAGUUCUCAGAAAGUUGGUAUUUUUUGUAUAUCCUUUUCUGCAAUCCCAACAGUCAGGUGAGAGAUGCUACAAAACUAGCAAUAACAGAGACCUAUAAAAACGUGGGACAGAAGCCAGGCGUGUUGGCUCACGCCUGUAAUCCCAGCACUUUGGGAGGCUGAAGUGAGAGGACUGCUUGAGCUCAGAAGUUUGAGACCAGCCUGGGCAACAUAGCAAGACCCCAUCUGUCUCUACUAAUGAAAAAAUUAGCUGGGCACAGUGGCGUGCACCUGUAGUCCCAGCUACUCAGGAAGCUGAGGCAGGAGGAUUGCUUGAGCACAGGAGUUCAAGGUUGCACUGAGCUAUGACUGUGCCACUGCACUCCAGCCUGGGCAACAGAGUGAGACCCUGUUUCACAUACACACAAAAAAAGAAAUGCAAGAAAGAAAGGGACAGUGGACUUUAUAAGAGAUGAAAUCCUCUUAUUAGAGCACAAAAUGUUGGCAGUAUCAUUUUCCAUGUCUACAAAAAUAAAAAUUUUAAUACAAAGCAUGGAUGAAAACAUGUUGUCAUCCAUUGCUUCAGCCUUUAAGAUUCCUGUACCAAAAAUACCUGGAAAUCCUGUCAACAGCACAAGGAAGCCUGGUUCAGCAGGUGGCCCUAAGGCUGGAGAUGCAUCUAAGGAGAGAAGUGCCAGAGCAGCUGAGAAAGCAUAUCUCUUUUUGUAGUCAAGAGCUUGAAGAAAAUUUUUUUCUCUCUCCUUUUUUUUGGGGGGAGUGGGGGUAGAGACAGAGUCUCACUAUGUUGCCCAGACUGGUCUCAAACUCCUGGCUUCGAGCAAUCCUCCUGCCUUGGUCUCCCCAAGUACUGAGUUACAGAUGUAAGCCACGACACCUGGCAUGGAAGAAAAUUUUAAACACAACUGUGACUGCUGUGCAGGUACACUCAGGAAAAUUCAAUUAGUGCUUGUUGCUGGAGCUGCAAAGUAUGACUGCAUUUUCCAAUACUUCCACUUGUUAAAUGGAUUGCUUAAAUUUACAAAUCCCAGGCAGUGAAAGAAGCUGCAUUGCGAGAGCUGGCUCAUCUUUUAGGUUUGGAGAAUUAUAUUUGAUUAUGGUUCUGAAGCCACCGUACCUACUUUCUUUAAUACAGUUCCCAAAUAAGUACAAAAUGCAUAGGACCAUCUAGAUUUGCAGCAGUAAGAUUCCCUAUCCAGGCAUACUCAAGUCCCCAGGCUCACGCCUUUAAUAACAAGAAACUGUACGUCAAGACCGAUUCAUGUGAGGAGGUAUUCACUUAAAUCUUUAGACUUACUAUUGUAAGAGUGGGGUCAGUUAUUUGAAAGAUGUGGGUAUUUACAAUGCUAAGGACAGAGUAAAGGCAAAAUUAAAAAGGUCAGAAAUCACUUUUCUGGUGAGGCUGAGACAUCAUGCAGCCAAAGUCUUCAAUCUUUAGAAUCCUAGAGGUGUAGCAUCUCUUCCUCUCUAUCAGAUAAGCCCUCAUCCAAUUCACCAGAAAGCCUCAAUUACCUUUUUCCUUCAAAUGAUCUACAGCAAACAUGUGAGCUACAGCUGAAAGAAUGUCAACAGAUAGAAGAACCAGCUCCUUUCCAGAGGCCUGCAGCAUUUCCUAAAGGACCUGGUGUGAGGGCUGUUGCUGGUGCCUAGGCAUGUAUCAUACCACAAGCAUUUCAUAUGGAGUAAGCACUUAGGGAUACAUGCUGAAACCCAGGUUCCUGUUCCCCAGACCAUGAAGGAUCAAAGCCUUCAAUACCACUGACUGGCAAAGGAAAUGUCGAGACAGUUCCUAGGAGAAGAAUACAAACAAAAAUGGCAUCUCAACCACUUGGCAGCUGUGGUCUGAAUUUCCAGAAGAUCCUUAACUAUAAGAGCCCCUCUACCAAGAGGUCUGGCAUUCGGGCCCCAGACAAUUGAGCUACAACACAAUGAGAGGCCAGACAAGAUAAAGGCUGAAUUGUAGCAGAGAAGUCAGUCCAUAGGCAAGAAGCUGCUAUCUUCCACGGGUGAGUGUAAGACAGGGAUACAGUGAGUACAGCCGCACAGCUAGCCAGGAAAGCAACAGAGCCACAGGUCCUGUCUACUCAGCCUCUUGGUCCAGGGUAUGAAAUCAGCCAAGCAGACUGUGGUCUUUGAUCAGGACCAUGAAAGUCCUGAAGACUGGCUCUAACACAGAGGAAGCAGUGGCAGAUGUCUUUAAAAACAAAAACAAAAACCUGCUCCAAGAAGAUAUGAAUCAAGACAAUGCCAACAGGGACUCAUCUAGCACAUCAAGAGUGCCUAUCACUCUUGAAAUGGUGGUGCUCUUACACAUACGCAGCAAGUGGGAGAUGAGGCAGAAGUCCUCCAUGGAUGUGCUUAUCUGCAGAAUUUAUUUAAAAAUUACAAAACACUAAGUUGAGCUGAACUGAAAAAAAAAUUAAAAUUUCACAGUACUAUUUGCAAGGUAAUCAGUAUGCUUUUUAAAACUCUGGUAGACUUCACACCAAUCCAUAAAGAUGACCUUCAAAAUUGAUUUUCCAAUUGCUGAUGCAGCUACACAGAAAAAACAACAAAAAGAAGGCUGAUUUGCUUAGGCGUGUCCAAGCAAAAGUUCAAAAAAUCUUUUCCAAAUGAUCUUUAAUCAAUAUUCUAAUGAGAUCUAUGGUAGAUCAGACCCAAAUGCCAAUCCUAAAGGUAAAGGCUGCUAUCUUUAAGUAUACAGAAACUUUGGCCAAACAGAGAGACCCAGAGGCCUCUAGAAAGAUGCCAGUGAAACUUCUCUGAUGGUGUCUCAGGUCAUCAAUUUUACAACAGAACACAGAAGUUCCAAUAUUUAUAAGGGAACAUAGCCAGUGCUGAUUUGGACUCAAUACCCAAGAGGACACUUUACUAAGCUUUACCCAAGAGGAUACUUUAAUAAGGAGCUUUACCCAAAACCUUUCAGCAGGGUGCUGCCACAUUUCUUCAAAAUCACCUCUGAAUAAAGGCAGGAAGCCAGGGUCCCAGUGGGAGUACUUGGACAAGAACAUUCCACCUGCACCAGCUUAACCAGUCCAGGCCUCUCACUUCCACCUACAUAUCACAGACACAGAAUACUUUGACCUUCAAAUGUAUUUGAUUAUGACACAGAACCAUGGCCUCUGAAGUCAUUUUUAGCUCUCUUAGAGAUGUCCCUGAGACCAUUCAGGAUUUGAGCUUCUGUUGUCAAGAAGACAUGAACGAACCU